rnacentral:rRNA from 1 species
GUAGGGUGCGAGCGUUAAUCGGAAUUACUGGGCGUAAAGCGUGCGCAGGUGGUUUUGUAAGUCAGAUGUGAAAUCCCCGGGCUUAACCUGGGAACUGCGUUUGAAACUGCAAGGCUAGAGUGUGGCAGAGGGGGGUGGAAUUCCGCGUGUAGCAGUGAAAUGCGUAGAGAUGUGGAGGAACACCGAUGGCGAAGGCAGCCCCCUGGGUCAACACUGACGCUCAGGCACGAAAGCAUGGGGAGCAAACAGGAUUAGAUACCCUGGUAGUCCAUGCCCUAAACGAUGUCAACUAGUUGUCGGGUCUUAACGGGCUUGGUAACGUAGCUAACGCGUGAAGUUGACCGCCUGGGGAGUACGAUCGCAAGAUUA